rnacentral:rRNA from 1 species
UACAGAGGUGGCAAGUGUUGUUCGGAUUUACUGGGCGUAAAGGGUCCGCAGGCGGCUUUGUGUGUCAGAUGUGAAAGCCCACGGCUUAACCGUGGAAAUGCAUUUGAAACUACAGGGCUAGAGUACGGGAGAGGAGAGGGGAAUUCAUGGUGUAGCGGUGAAAUGCGUAGAUAUCAUGAAGAACACCGGUGGCGAAAGCGCCUCUCUGGACCGAUACUGACGCUCAUGGACGAAAGCCAGGGGAGCAAAGAGG